GGUGAACGUUGGCGGUGCGCCUAAUACAUGCAAGUCGAGCGAGAAAGUCCAAACCCGCAAGGGGGAGGGCGAGUACAGCGGCGAACUGGUGAGUAACACGUGAUCAACCUACCUCUCCGACAGGGACAACCUUUGGAAACAAAGGCUAAUACCUGAUGGCGUUGCUUGCCCACAAGGGCGAGCAAAUAAAGGGGCGUUUGCUCCGCGGGGAGAUGGGGUUGCGGCCCAUCAGCUAGUUGGUAGGGUAACGGCCUACCAAGGCGAUGACGGGUAGGGGGCCUGAGAGGGCGCACCCCCACAUGGGGACUGGGUUAGGGCCCUGACUCCUACGGGAGGCAGCAGUAGGGAAUCUUCCGCAAUGGACGAAAGUCGGACGGAGCAACGCCGCGUGAGCGAAGAAGGCCUUCGGGUCGUAAAGCUCUGUUGUUAGGGAAGAACAAGUACGAGAGUAACUGCUCGUACCUUGACGGUACCUAACCAGAAAGCCACGGCUAACUACGUGCCAGCAGCCGCAGUAACAC
rnacentral:rRNA from 1 species